AUACGAAGGUGGCAAGCGUUGUUCGGUAUCACUGGGCUUAAAGGGUGCGUAGGCAGGAUAGAAAGCGUCCUGUGAAAUCCCCCGGCUUAACCGGGGAAUUGCUUGACGAACUAUUAUCCUUGAGGCAAGUAUGGGUGCAUGGAACUCUUGGUGGAGCGGUGGAAUGCGUAGAUAUCAAGAGGAACGCCAGUGGUGAAAACGAUGCACUGGGCUUGUCCUGACGCUGAGGCACGAAAGCGUGGGUAGCGAACGGGAUUAGAUACCCCGGUAGUCCACGCCGUAAACGAUGUCUACUAGACUGUGGGAGUUCUGACACUUUCACGAUCGAAGCAAAAGUGUUAAGUAGACCGCCUGGGAACUACGGCCGCAAGGCUAAA
rnacentral:rRNA from 1 species